GGGGUUGUGGUUCAGUGGUAGAGCGCUCGCCUCCCAUGUGAGAGACCCUGGGUUCGAUCCUCAGCACCA
rnacentral:tRNA from 1 species